CGGAGGAAAAGAAACCAACAGGGAUUGCCUAGUAACGGCGAGUGAAGCGGCAACAGCUCAAAUUUGAAAUCUGGCCCUCGGGUCCCGAGUUGUAAUUUGUAGAGGAUGCUUUUGGUGCGGUGCCUUCCGAGUUCCCUGGAACGGGACGCCAUAGAGGGUGAGAGCCCCGUCUGGUUGGACGCCAAUCCUAUGUAAAGCUCCUUCGACGAGUCGAGUAGUUUGGGAAUGCUGCUCUAAAUGGGAGGUAUAUGUCUUCUAAAGCUAAAUAUUGGCCAGAGACCGAUAGCGCACAAGUAGAGUGAUCGAAAGAUGAAAAGCACUUUGAAAAGAGAGUUAAAAAGCACGUGAAAUUGUUGAAAGGGAAGCGCUUAUGACCAGACUUGGGCUUGGUUGAUCAUCCGGCGUUCUCGCCGGUGCACUCUUCCGGUCCAGGCCAGCAUCAGUUUGCUUCGGGGGAUAAAGGCUUUGGGAAUGUGGCUCCCUCGGGAGUGUUAUAGCCCAUUGUGUAAUACCCUGGAGCGGACUGAGGUACGCGUUCUGCAAGGAUGCUGGCGUAAUGGUCAUCAGUGACCCGUCUUGAAACACGGACCAAGGAGUCGUCUUCGUAUGCGAGUGUUCGGGUGUCAAACCCCUACGCGUAAUGAAAGUGAACGCAGGUGAGAGCUUCGGCGCAUCAUCGACCGAUCCUGAUGUUCUCGGAUGGAUUUGAGUAAGAGCAUACGGGGCCGGACCCGAAAGAAGGUGAACUAUGCCUGUGUAGGGUGAAGCCAGAGGAAACUCUGGUGGAGGCUCGCAGCGGUUCUGACGUGCAAAUCGAUCGUCAAACAUGGGCAUGGGGGCGAAAGACUAAUCGA
rnacentral:rRNA from 1 species